rnacentral:rRNA from 1 species
GACGAACGCUGGCGGCGUGCUUAACACAUGCAAGUCGAACGAUGACGCCCGAGCUUGCUCGGUCUGAUUAGUGGCGAACGGGUGAGUAACACGUGAGCAACCUGCCCUUCACUCUGGGAUAACCUCGGGAAAACGGGGCUAAUACCGGAUAUGAGCUCCUGUCGCAUGGCGGGUGUUGGAAAGUUUUUCGGUGAAGGAUGGGCUCGCGGCCUAUCAGUUUGUUGGUGAGGUAGUGGCUCACCAAGGCGAUGACGGGUAGCCGGCCUGAGAGGGCGACCGGCCACACUGGGACUGAGACACGGCCCAGACUCCUACGGGAGGCAGCAGUGGGGAAUAUUGCACAAUGGGCGAAAGCCUGAUGCAGCGACGCCGCGUGAGGGAUGACGGCCUUCGGGUUGUAAACCUCUUUCAGCAGGAAAGAAGCGAAAGUGACGGUACCUGCAGAAGAAGCGCCGGCUAACUACGUG